GGGCGGUUAGUUCAGUUGGUUAGAACGCUACCUUGACAUGGUAGAGGUCACAGGUUCGAGUCCUGUACCGCCCACCA
rnacentral:tRNA from 1 species